rnacentral:rRNA from 1 species
UACGAAGGGGGCUAGCGUUGCUCGGAAUCACUGGGCGUAAAGGGUGCGUAGGCGGGUCUUUAAGUCAGGGGUGAAAUCCUGGAGCUCAACUCCAGAACUGCCUUUGAUACUGAAGAUCUUGAGUUCGGGAGAGGUGAGUGGAACUGCGAGUGUAGAGGUGAAAUUCGUAGAUAUUCGCAAGAACACCAGUGGCGAAGGCGGCUCUCUGGGACGGUACUGGACGCUGAGACGCGAAAGCGUGGGGAGCGAACGAGG